AGUGAACGCUGGCGGUAGGCCUAACACAUGCAAGUCGAACGGCAGCACAGUAAGAGCUUGCUCUUACGGGUGGCGAGUGGCGGACGGGUGAGGAAUACAUCGGCAUCUACUUUUUCGUGGGGGAUAACGUAGGGAAACUUACGCUAAUACCGCAUACGACCUACGGGUGAAAGCAGGGGAUCUUCGGACCUUGCGCGAUUGAAUGAGCCGAUGUCGGAUUAGCUAGUUGGCGGGGUAAAGGCCCACCAAGGCGACGAUCCGUAGCUGGUCUGAGAGGAUGAUCAGCCACACUGGAACUGAGACACGGUCCAGACUCCUAAGGGAGGCAGCAGUGGGGAAUAUUGGACAAUGGGCGCAAGCCUGAUCCAGCCAUACCGCGUGGGUGAAGAAGGCCUUCGGGUUGUAAAGCCCUUUUGUUGGGAAAGAAAAGCAGCAGGUUAAUACCCCGCUGUUCUGACGGUACCCAAAGAAUAAGCACCGGCUAACUUCGUG
rnacentral:rRNA from 1 species